GUGGGGAAUAUUGGACAAUGGGCGAAAGCCUGAUCCAGCCAUGCCGCGUGUGUGAAGAAGGUCUUCGGAUUGUAAAGCACUUUAAGUUGGGAGGAAGGGCAGUAAGUUAAUACCUUGCUGUUUUGACGUUACCGACAGAAUAAGCACCGGCUAACUUCGUGCCAGCAGCCGCGGUAAUACGAAGGGUGCAAGCGUUAAUCGGAAUUACUGGGCGUAAAGCGCGCGUAGGUGGUUUUGUAAGUUGGAGGUGAAAUCCCCGGGCUCAAACUGGGAACUGACUCCAAAACUGCAUGACUAGAGUACGGUAGAGGGUAGUGGAAUUUCCUGUGUAGCGGUGAAAUGCGUAGAUAUAGGAAGGAACACCAGUGGCGAAGGCGACUACCUGGACUGAUACUGACACUGAGGUGCGAAAGCGUGGGGAGCAAACAGGAUUAGAAACCCCAGUAGUCC
rnacentral:rRNA from 1 species